GAAUCCACCUUAAGAAUUAAAAAUGACAUAGCUGUUCAAAGCAGGCUGCUGCAUGCUCUGAUGCCUGGCCAGGGACCUGACUGUGGAGAAACGGAGACCUUUUCCUCUUCCUUUGUAGACAGAACAAUCACAUGCUUAAGCACUCACAGCUGUCCUGCAAGCAGAUGGACACCAGCUGAUUCUAGAGGAGAUAUCAGACUGGGAUACUGUAGAACUUAA
rnacentral:lncRNA from 1 species